UCUCCGUUUUGGAUUCUUAAUAUUCCUUCAGAAGAGAUGGCAAGGGGACUGAUGAAACGGACAGUAUGCGCAAAGUCUAUCUUUGAAUUGUGGGGUCAUGGCAGAUCUGCAGGGGAGCUUUAUACGUCUCUGAAGAGCUAUCCAGUGGAGAAGAUGCUUCCGUAUCUACAGUCAGACUCUACGUACAAAAUACGUAUUCAUACGUUCAACAAAACACUGACCCAAGCAGAGAAGAUAAAAAAGA